CUCGGUUUCACCUUCGGCAGCUACGACAUGAACUGGGUGCGCCAGAGCCCCGGGAAGGGGCUGGAAUGGGUCGCUGGGAUCACCAACACUGGUGGUAGCACCGGCUACGCGCCGUCGGUGCAGGGCCGGUUCACCAUCGCCAGGGACAACGGGCAGGGCACGGUGACGCUGCAGAUGAACGACCUCAAGGAGGAGGAUUCCGCCACCUAUUUCUGCGCCAAACGUUACAAUGCUGGUGCUGGCUGGGGUGCUGCUGGUAUCCAACCUUUGGCCCCAAAUCUCAACCGCUGA